UACGAAGGGGGCUAGCGUUGUUCGGAAUUACUGGGCGUAAAGGGCGCGUAGGCGGCCUCCUAAGUCAGACGUGAAAUCCCCCGGCUUAACCUGGGAACUGCGUCUGAUACUGGGAGGCUAGAGUGCGGGAGAGGGAUGCGGAAUUCCAGGUGUAGCGGUGAAAUGCGUAGAUAUCUGGAGGACACCGGUGGCGAAGGCGGCAUCCUGGACCG
rnacentral:rRNA from 1 species